UUUUUAUAUACUAAACUAUUACAUUCUUUCUGCAAUGAGGUAGGUAGGAACAAAUAGAUUUAAUUGCAAAUACAUUAUGAAAUUUGAUCUUCACACAAUCUUAUGAGGAAGAUAAAGCAGAGUUUAUCAUUUUCAUGAAUGAAUCGCAGGCAGGGAGAGAUUACCUCUCUUGCUUCCAUUUUUUUUUUUUUUUUAAUUUAGGAACCAUAUACCUUUAUUGAAAGGAAUGGUAAACUUGGAAGAAAGAAAAUUUUAAGUGAAUGGUUUUCAAGGGCAAUGUUGCGGUAUGCAUGCCCAGCAUGGUGAUGGGGAGGUGGGGGGAGUCACCCUGUGGCUACGUGGAAGGUGGACAAGUUCUUCCUGCUGUGCACCAUGCUGGGCUUGCCAUCCUGCGCAGGGCCCCCAUCCAACUCAGCUUGGUGAGAGCUACAUACUCUUUGAAGGACUUGACCUGCUUGUGGAGGGAGGGACGCUUCGGGAGCUGCCACAGGUGGGAGUCGUUCCCAUCAGUGGCCAGCUGUUGCUGAUAAAGGAAGCUGGUCACUUGCUUCUCCAGCUGGAAGGCGCAAGCCAAAGCUUUCGAGGUGCUUCGCAGCGGGCAGUCCUGGAGCUUGGUUUCUGCGGAGGCUAUGCGGCCACGCGGAUACCGCGGCCACCUGGUCUUCUUCCUCCGGGAGUUCCCUCUCCUCCCUCUCCAACCGGGGCUGGUGCGGGAAGGACCUACGGAGCGCUUCAAAGGCCAAGUCGUCCUGGAAGUACAGGCAGGAGGCAUAAAGCACCAGCAUCACCUUUUGAAUUACUUCAAGGGCUGGCAUGACUUUGUCUGCCUAUGCUGACCUCUCUCCCUCCCUGGUCAUUCAUUCUUCUCCAUUGGCUGAGAAUACAAGUAAGUUUGACUAUUUGGGGAUUUUUAAGCAUACCUCUUGAAAAGAGAUUUGAAACCUUCGCCUUUUUGCUCUUUGGUAUUCAUAGAGGAUAAGGACAAGCAGAUAGUAAUGACAGCAUCAAUUAAGGAGUUAAUAACCAAGGAAAGUCUGUCUGUGGCUAAUUUAGUUUGAGCAUUAUAAGAUUAUAUCAAGUAAUAUUUGUUGAACAUAUUAAGUAAUAUUUGUUCUAUAAACAAGUCAUUAGCUGGUUUUUCUGAUACCCAUAGUGGCCCUGGGUCAGUCUUGUUAUCUCUUCAGCUGAAUUUCCUCAUCUCUUAAGUAGAUAUGCAUUAUUACCUAAAGAGUCUAGAUGAACUUGAGUCUAUUAUGAAUAUUAGUGACUUUGGGGGAAACAUGUUUGUUAUGAAAAACAUGGCUUGAUCUGAACAAAUUGUUAGCCUGCUUAACCAUAAAUACCUUACACAUAUAUAUAUUUUUUAAAUUUCUUUUUAUCCCCAGCUGCACUGAUGAGGAAACUGAAAUACAGAAAAUCCAGAGUAAAUUCCACCAGGCCACACAGCGAGGUCUGAUAGAGCCAGGAGUGACUUUAUGAAAUCCAGACCCUCAGACUAAUGUUCUAUCAGCCAGACCUCCAUGUGAGCCCCACAAAUGUAGGUAGAAAUAGCUUUCCCUAAAAUGCUCAUGAAGCACAUCAGAGCAAUGCUUCAUUUUAUGUGACUUCUAAUUUGAAAUGCAAACAAUUGCCAAUUUGUUUGACUUGUAUUUAUAAUUAUUUCCUUGUGAAUUACUCAUCACUAAAUGCUUU
rnacentral:lncRNA from 1 species